UACAGAGGUCCCAAGCGUUGUUCGGAUUCACUGGGCGUAAAGGGUGCGUAGGUGGUGAGGUAAGUCGGAUGUGAAAUCUCCGAGCUCAACUCGGAAAUGGCAUUGGAAACUACCUUGCUAGAGGGUUGGAGGGGGGACUGGAAUACUUGGUGUAGCAGUGAAAUGCGUAGAUAUCAAGAGGAACACCAGUGGCGAAGGCGAGUCCCUGGACAACUUCUGACGCUGAGGCACGAAAGCUAGGGGAGCAAACAGG
rnacentral:rRNA from 1 species